GAUGAACGCUGGCGGCGUGCCUAAUACAUGCAAGUCGAGCGAACAGACGAGGAGCUUGCUCCUCUGACGUUAGCGGCGGACGGGUGAGUAACACGUGGAUAACCUACCUAUAAGACUGGGAUAACUUCGGGAAACCGGAGCUAAUACCGGAUAAUAUAUUGAACCGCAUGGUUCAAUAGUGAAAGACGGUUUUGCUGUCACUUAUAGAUGGAUCCGCGCCGCAUUAGCUAGUUGGUAAGGUAACGGCUUACCAAGGCAACGAGGCGUAGCCGACCUGAGAGGGUGAUCGGCCACACUGGAACUGAGACACGGUCCAGACUCCUACGGGAGGCAGCAGUAGGGAAUCUGCCGCAAUAGGCGAAAGCCUGACGGAGCAACGCCGCGUGAGUGAUGAAGGUCUUCGGAUCGUAAAACUCUGUUAUUAGGGAAGAACAAAUGUGUAAGUAACUAUGCACGUCUUGACGGUACCUAAUCAGAAAGCCACGGCUAACUACGUG
rnacentral:rRNA from 1 species